rnacentral:lncRNA from 1 species
UUAUAUUCUUCAUCAUUUCCCCCGCUCGUAAGGCCUGCAAUACAUUAUGCAUAAAGCUUGUCACUGCCAGAAAUGAACCGAACGCAUGUGUAGGAAUUUAUGAUAGAGUGCAUCAUACCCGUAGUAACGUCCUCUUUUGGUUGAUGUUCACCUGCCUUGCUUUUCGAAUUCCCCAUACGCACCUAUGGAAUGGCAGUUCACUGACAUUAAAUGACCAUUGCCUGAUGGCAAGAAUAUUUGAAAUAGCGGGGGUGGGAGUAGCAAGAUAACUAUACUAUGCAUGAUGUCCUCUAGAUGUUUUGCACGUGUCUAUAUGUAGUCAUCCUGUCUCCAUCUUAGCAAUGCUAUCAUAUGACAAACAGGGGUUGUGUUCUGGAAUUCAGUUAGCACUGCUUUGAUAAAUAUUUGAGAUAAAAAGAUUACCGAGCCUCACUUUGCUAAAUAUUUGAGAUCUUAUAAACAUAUUUGCAUAACUGUUGUUUUGUUGUUUCCAUGAAAUUCUGCACGUAGCGUCUUGAAGAGACCAAUCUAUAUUUAGCUGAGCUAUGCGAAGUUGCAACCCUCACUAUGUCCACGAGGGUGUUUAUAGUUUUUAUUACCAUGUGGAAACUUUGUGUAUGAAGUUAUGGCACCCCAAAUACUCCCCAUGUGUGCGCGCGCGCAUGCGGUGCCUAGGGUAGGUAGUAGAGUACUUCAUAUACCUGUACUAUUCAUGCUUCAACUUUGGGGUAGUUUUCAUGUGCAUACAACAUAUUGGACCUUGCAGGACCCUCUUGGCAUCCUGUUGCUGGAAAAAAACUACACAGCCGAAUCGUUUUUUUAUUUCUGAAACAAGAUUUCUAUUGCACAAGCCUUCUGAAACAGGAUAGUGUUUUCCAUUUCUUAAAGCUCAAAUCUUGUUGCGCAAAAUUGUAGAUCAAAAUUAGUGUCUGCAUGUCCUGGAUACCUAGCUAGCUAUGUUCCAGUUUGACAAUCAACUUUGUAGAUGCUCAGUUUGACAAAGUUUUUAUAAGAUGUUUAAUUUUUGGAUGGAACAAAAAAGGAAGCAUAGUUGAAAUGCAAUGCAAUCAGACUUGUAAAGGUCUUGCAUUGCACAAAAUGCUAAGGAUGAGGCCAGAAGAAGGUUCAAUGAAGUGAAAAAAUUACUCCUUACUUGGUCUGCAUGCAGUGAUCGACUACUGGUUUGCUUGUCAGGUUAGGCCAAAACAAAACGUUGUUGGUAAUUUUACGGUUUGUAACUGAUGCCCUUGCCACAAGAAAUUUAUUGAUGUCGCAAUUUUGUAGUCUAACCCUUCAGUCCUCAUAAGAAAUAAAAUAGACAUCUGAUUUGAACACUUGUACAUAUAUGUGUGCAAAACAGCUAAAUUAUGUACAGUAGGCCUCAAAAGAACAGUUACUUUUGCUGUUAAUUUGCAAGACAUUCUUAAUUUUGCCUCAAAAGAAUGACAAUUUUGUUACUCUCAGCAUUUAUUGUUGGUUACAAAUAGAGAAUUGGUAGUUGCUUAAAGAAAGACUAAAACCACAAGGUCACAUUUGAAGUUAUAGGUCGAUUUAGCGAGUCAUAAUAGACAAAAUAAUUUACUUAUCAUACUAAACUAUUGUGAUCUCGGUCCACACUUUUCGGAACCACUAUACUACCUAUUAGUUAAUUAGCAGCACGCUACUACCUAGAUGUAACUUUGUAGAUGCUUUUCUACUGUUAAUUGCAUCUUGCAUGAAUUUUUUGUUCUUCUUGCAGUUGUUCUGUUUCCCAUAGAAGCUGCAUCUUUCUAGAAGCUGCUACAUCAGAUUAAGUAAGUACACCCUGUUUGCCUAAAUUAUUGUUCAAGAGGCAGCUGAAACAAAAUUUCAUACACAGAAACAAUUAACAGGCAUUACCUUCAUUGUUAGCGUUGAUACUGCGCAUUACCUUGAGCAUGCGUUGGAUGUAAAUUUUUAUUGCAUGUAUGUGUCUAUCUAUAGUCCUCCUGUCAAUAUUACUGUCAACCUAGCUGUUCAUAUAAAGUGGAAAACACAGAGGGGGCGAGUCAAUACUAUGUUGAUAUAUAGCUGUUUUACGUUAUUACUCCCUCCGAUCCUAUAUAGCUGUUUUAUGUUUGAUUUCUUUUUCUGUAUUUUGUUGGAAAUCAUUUUGUUGUUCUUCCUGAUUUGUGUGUCGCCACUUUGCAGCCUGGGAAUGAAUCUCAUAACUUCUAUUCUGAUGAGCACUACCUGCCAACCUUAUUUAAUGUAAGCACUCAGAAGCUCCUAACCGUGUUCUUUUUCACUUUAGCCACCACUAAUAUAUACUGCUGUCGUGCCUGCAGAUGGUUGAUCCAACCGGAGUUGCGAAUUGGUCAGUGACACGUGUUGAUUGCUCUGAAGGAAAAUGACAUCCUAAAGUUUAUAGGGCUGUUGACACAAGCUUUGAACUGCUUAAAAGUAUAGCGGUGAGCUGAGCAUGCGUUGGAUGUAAAUUUUUAUUGCAUGUAUGAGCAUGCGUUGGAUGUAAAUUUUUAUUGCAUGUAUGAGCAUGGGUUGGAUGUAAAUUUUUAUUGCAUGUAUGAGCAUGGGUUGGAUGUAUGAGUUGGAUACCUUGAUCGUCUUCGGGGCCUGGAACGUAGGCGCCGGGCCCUGGAACCGGUCUCCG